rnacentral:rRNA from 1 species
GAUUAUGGCUCAGGAUGAACGCUGGCGGCGUGCCUAACACAUGCAAGUCGAACGGUUAACCCGCCUUCGGGCGGUCAUAAAGUGGCGAACGGGUGAGUAACACGUGACCAACCUGCCCCGCGCUCCGGGACAGCCUCGCGAAAGCGGGAUUAAUACCGGAUGCGCCGCCCGCCCCGCAUGGGGCGGGCGGGAAAGCCCCAAGCGGCGCGGGAUGGGGUCGCGGCCCAUCAGGUAGACGGUCGGGUAGAGGCCGACCGUGCCUGCGACGGGUAGCCGGGUUGAGAGACCGACCGGCCACAUUGGGACUGAGAUACGGCCCAGACUCCUACGGGAGGCAGCAGUGGGGAAUAUUGCGCAAUGGGGGCAACCCUGACGCAGCAACGCCGCGUGCGGGAAGACGGCCCUCGGGUUGUAAACCGCUUUCAGCAGGGAAGACACCGACGGUACCUGCAGAAGAAGCCCCGGCUAACUACGUGCCAGCCGCUGC